UACGGAGGGGGCAAGCGUUGUCCGGAUUCAUUGGGCGUAAAGAGCGUGUAGGCGGCCAGGUAGGUCGGUUGUGAAAACUGGAGGCUCAACCUUCAGAGGUCGACCGAAACCAUCUGGCUAGAGUCCGGGAGAGGAGAGUGGAAUUCCUGGUGUAGCGGUGAAAUGCGCAGAUAUCAGGAAGAACACCCGUGGCGAAAGCGGCUCUCUGGAACGGUACUGACGCUGAGACGCGAAAGCGUGGGGAGCGAACAGG
rnacentral:rRNA from 1 species